rnacentral:rRNA from 1 species
CCCUUAGAUGUUCUGGGCCGCACGCGUGCUACACUGAGUGGAUCAGCGGGUCAGGUUGCGCGAAAGCGUUGCCUAAUCUUUAAAUCCGCUCGUGAUGGGGAUUGACGGUUGCAAUUUUCUGUCAUGAACGAGGAAUACCUUGUAAGCGCGGGUCAUCAUCCCGCGCUGAAUACGUCCCUGCCCUUUGUACACACCGCCCGUCGCUCCUACCGAUUGAGUGGUCCGGUGAGGCUUUGGGAUCUGAGCGGAAAGAGCGUUUCGCUGUUUCUGCUCGGAAAACUCAGUCGAACCUUAUCAUUUAGAGGAAGGAGAAGUCGUAACA